UCAGAUAACACUCUGCCUUCUUCCUGCCCCAUUGGCCCGCCUCCACCCUAUAUAAGUUGUAGCCAUUUUAAAAAUAAAUGAGGUUUGAAUGGAAUCCCACCAAGCCUUCGUCUCUCUUUUCUCUUGCCCUGCCCUUCAUCCCCGUUCCCCUCUCCAGGCAAAGGCCCACGGACCAAUCUGUGGGACAGAUCAAGUGGCGCCCAACCGUGGGGCAGACCUGGAACAAGGGAUAAUGACGUGGGACCGUUCACGGGAGUAAAGCGCUGGCCAGCGUGACUGUUUCGGGACUUCGUUCCUGUGAUCUGUGCAGACGGCCACCUUACGUCUCACCUGAAUUACGGCAAAGGCCAACGGACUGAUCUGCGGGACGGAUCAGAUUGCUGUGAGUUUGAAGUCAGCCUAGAUUACAAAGUGAGCUGAAGUCCAGCUGAACUGCAUAAUGAAACCCUAUCUCAAAAAGACAAAAAAAAAAGAGCCCUCAGGAAAUGAACCUAAAAGCAAAUGAAGAAAUAUUUAAGAAACAAAUUUACAAAUGUCCAGUAAGCAAAUGAUAAUGAGAAUACACCUAAACAAAAUGACUAAAUCCAGCGGGCAAUGAGCUGGAACAAUCUGAAAGCCCUCCACCAGGCCUCUCUGAAGUGGUAACAACAAAGCAAUUGAAUGAGACUAUGGAAAAAAAUGGAAUCAGAAGUAAUCUCUCAGAUAACUACAGAGAUUACCAUGCUUAGAAAUGUCAGAGCAGAUAUAGACAAAAAAAUUGGUAGGCUUAAGAAAAUUAUGGAAGUUCAGCAUAGGAAAGACAUAGAAUCCUUAAAGCAGAUAGCCAGGAGAAUAAAAACUUCAUUGAAAACAUUCAAAGCAGAUUAGGCCAAUGUGAGGCAGAAUCUCAGAUAUUGAAGACAGGCUUAUAGUCAGUGAUCAGGAAAAGAAAAAUAUAUCAAAAAUAGCAAGGGACCAUGAAAAAUCAAUCCAGAAGCUGCUAGAUGUUACAAAGAAAAAUAACUUGAGAUUGAUUGGCAUCAAUGAAAACUCAGGAGGUACCAUAAAUGAAAAAAUGUUCAUAGACAUCAGGGCAGAAAACUUUCUUGGCAGAGAACAAGAAUUUGACACAAAGAUAAAUGAGUUUUAUGGAGCUCCAGUUAGCAAUGAUCAAAAAAACUAUGCAGGCACAUCAUAGUUAAGAUUUUAGAAAUUAAACUCAAGAAUAGAAUCUUAAAAGCUAUUAGAGACAAGAAACAAUUCACCUAUAAAGGAAAGCCCAUAAGAAUCACAGCUGACUUCUCAGCACAAACUCUCAAAUCAAGGAGAGUUUGAACUACUCCAAGUUCUGAAGGAUAACAACUUUCAACCCAGAUUGAUGUACCCCACAAAACUAUCUUUCAAAAUUGAUGUAGAAAUAAGACACUUCCAUGACAAAGAACAUCUGAAGAAAUUUCUGACCACCAAACCAGCACUCCAAAAUGUUCUAGAAAGAGGUAACAAGGACUACCACUCCAUGAACCCCCAUAGAUGGAAUCCACCAGAGAAAGCAAACAAUUAAAAGGAAGGGAACAAAGAGGAGAAGCCAACAACAUGAAAAUGAUAAGUCAAUACAUGUAAGUUAUAACCAUCAAUUUUAAUGGUCUCACUUCACCAGUUAAAAGACAUGGACUGGCAGGAUAAAUCAAGAAGCAAGAUCCAACAAUAUCCUGCAUACAAGAAGCAUUUAAUUCAAAAAGAAAUUCACUGGCUGAAAAUCAAAUGAUGGAAAACAAUACUUCAUGUUAUAGGAACCCUGGAACAAGCAGGGUUUGCUAUUCUACUUGCAGAUAAAGUAAACUCCAAGCCAGGACUGAUUAAGAAAGAUAAAGAAGGUCACUACAUUCUCAUAAAGGGAACAAUCCAAGAGGAAAGAUAACAAUCAUAAAUAUACAUACAAGAAAUACCAAUGCAUCCAGCUACGUAAAACAAAUAUAAUGGACAUGAAAAAUCAAAUAAGACUUAACACAAUUCUGUUGGGAGACCUCAAUACCCCAUGGUCACAAAAAGACAGAUCAACUAGCAAAAAAAUCAAUAAUGAAAUAUUAGAACUAAGGAAAACUUUUAAAUACAAAGAGUUAGUAGGUGUCUAUAGAGUGUUCCACCCCACUACAUCAGAAUACACAUUCUUCUCAUCUGCACAUGGAGCAUUCUCCAAAAUAGACCACGUAGUGGCUCAUAGAACAUGCUUAAGUAAAUGCAAGAGAAUUGAAAUUAUCCCAUGCAUACUAUCAGACCACAGUGCAGUGAAAUUGGAAACCCCUGGCAAAAGAAACCAGAAGAAUUUCAUACAUACAUGGAAAUUACAUAGCAUCCUAAUAAACAACCAAUGGGUCACAGGUGAAAUUAAAGAAUAAAUUAGAAAGUUUUUAUAAUUGAAUGAUAAUGAUAAUGCAACAUACUGGAACUUUUAGGACACAAUGAAAGCAGUCUUAUCAGUAAAUGCCCAUAUCAGGAAAACACAGCAAGUGUAUAUAAACAACUUAAUGGUGAACCUCAACUUUCUAGAAAAAGAGGGGCAAGCUAAACCAAAAACUCAUACAAGGGAGAAAAUUUUAAAGGUCAGAGCAAAAAUUAAUGCAUUGGAGACUAAAAAACAGUACAAAGAAUCAAUGAAUCAAAGAAUUAGUUCUUUGGUGGAAGUAAUAAAAUCCAAAAAGUGUAAUUGUUAUUGUAAAAAAGAGAGGAAAAGAAAGUGGUCUAAAGGAUAUAACUGCAUGUAUAUUUAAGUGUGUAGGAUAGAAAAUCAUAUUACUGAGUUUUUAUUGAAUCAUUGAACAGAACUGUCUGCAGUCUCACUGUAUGGAUGUCCACUUUGUAUGCUUUAAUUUUGUAAUUAGGACAACUGUUUCUAAGAUCACAAUAUGUAAUCUGUUAACUAGUGAUUUCUUACAGUAUAUUAUUUUUCUUGAAAUUCUGUAUUACUUGUACCCUUUUACUGCUUUGUUUUUUUCUUUCUUCUCUUUAAAUAAAAAAGAAUUAGUUCUUUGAAAGAUUAAACAAAA